CUUCAUUGCUCUACACCAGGACCCCAGACUAAGGGGCUUUUGUGGAAUGUGUUUGCCCAAAUGAGUCAGCUGUAAACUUUCUCCUGACAUAUUCGAUGAUAAUUACGUAAAUAAGCCUUCUUCUAGUAAACCCAGGUUGCUGGGCCAUCCCUAGCAAAGGGGACUCUGGCUUUAUUUCUCUGUUUCUCUUAAUAGAUGUGGGGGCUUUUCCCUCACUCACUUCCCGUGUUAAUGGCUAUAACUGGAGCCAACUGGGGUUGGUAUAACUCGAGACAGAGACCAUAAGGAAUAUUCCCAAGCAGCUGCCGAAACUCUCUCUGUGUUCUCUGGCCUGACUUGGACUGCCUAAUCCCUUCCCCCUUGCUGGUGGGAAAGCAUGGCGUCUGCUCUUCUGUUGGGGCUUGUGAGCUCUAAAACCGGGAAUCUUUUCUCUGCCUCCUGGCAGCGCUUUGUUUCUUCUGUUUCCCCCUUAUUGUGUUUCUGUACCAACGCGCGUGCAGCCUGCAUGACUGGCCUCUAGAUCAUGCACCACGGCUCCUUCUCUCUUCACUGUCAAGGAGCAAGAAGAGUACCCCCUGGACCUAACACCCCCACUCCAGAUCUUCCCACGCAUGUCUCAGGUAAACAUUCAAAGUGGAGUGGGCCCAGGUGGAACGUAAAUCAGUAUUGGAACUAAGUUAAGUUUGUUGGUUUAAUUAAGAUAGAUGCAUCUUUGAAGUUAACAGCAGUAAAUGUGAAGCUUUAUUCUAUCGAAGUUUACUAAAGGUCAAAUAAGCUCAUGUUAUUUGUUAAAAUUUGUUAGCAAAGAAAUGACGAAACUGAUGGCUAAUUGUUGUCUCAAAGUCCUAAUGGGUAAUUGCUGAAGUAACUUUCAAAGUCUUUGGUAACCUGAAAGUUUUUUAAAGUUUUGCUUGGAUGACAAAUGGAAUUAACCGGGGCAGCCGCAUCUCUGCCUGCCCACGGGCCCUGUCCCCGUGCUCUAAUAAAUCACCUUUUGCACCAACGACGUCUUAAGAAUUCUUUCUUUAGUCGUUGGCUCCGAACCUCCUCACCCCACCGAACCUGACUUAGGUUCUGGGACUUCAUCAAGAAGGAGAGGCUUUGGGAAUUCUCCUGGAUAGAGGCACGCUGGUGGCUUCAAGGGGCUUGGCGGAGGUCAGGAGCCCUGGGGCGAGGAAUCCUGAACUCCUCCCCCUGAAGCGUCGGAACGAACACUGCAUGGAAAGGAAUUGGAAUGGAAGUGAAGGAGGGAAAGAGGAAGACCUUGUUCUACUUCAUGAGGACGGAGGUGAGAAAUCAUGAAAUCUUACCCCUGAAGCCAAGGAAUGAACACUGCUUGGAAAGAAAUUGGAAUGGAAGACAAGGAAAGAAGACCAUGUUCUACUUCAUGAAGAGUGAGGUAAACAUGGAGUGAUUUUCGCUCUCUUGUUCUGUCGAUCAUUUUCAAAUACACUGUGGUAGGAUACAUUUGGUUCUGUUUGCAUAAGGAGCCCCCAGAAA